rnacentral:rRNA from 1 species
GACGAACGCUGGCGGCGUGCUUAACACAUGCAAGUCGAACGGAAAGGCCCUGCUUUUGUGGGGUGCUCGAGUGGCGAACGGGUGAGUAACACGUGAGUAACCUGCCCUUGACUUUGGGAUAACUUCAGGAAACUGGGGCUAAUACCGGAUAGGAGCUCCUGCUGCAUGGUGGGGGUUGGAAAGUUUCGGCGGUUGGGGAUGGACUCGCGGCUUAUCAGCUUGUUGGUGGGGUAGUGGCUUACCAAGGCUUCGACGGGUAGCCGGCCUGAGAGGGUGACCGGCCACAUUGGGACUGCGGUACGGCCCAGACUGCUACGUGAGGCAGCAGUGGGGAAUAUUGCACAGUGGGCGGAAGCCUGAUGCAGCAACGCCGCGUGCGGGAUGACGGCCUUCGGGUUGUAAACCGCUUUCGCCUGUGACGAAGCGUGAGUGACGGUAAUGGAUAAAGAAGCACCGGCUAACUACGUG